GCCGCCGACGCCGCAGGCAGCCGCGCUCGGUAGGAGCAGCCUCUGCACGGGACAAUUCUCCACAUAAUCUGGUGACGCAAGCCGUCGACCCACCGGAAGUACUCCGUGUCGUGCGGCUGCUCUUCUGGACGCUCUCGGCGCUGCUCGUCCAUGGCGUGAUCUCCGCUACCGCUGCCUCCAACCACGCUGACCUCUUGCUCCAGUUCUUCCACUUGGCUUACAGCUGGGCGGGUUCUGGGCUUCUGGCCGGAGCCAGCCACCGUGGCGCUCCUCUACCACGCCCGCUGCAUCCUCCUCGGGACCAUGCCGCCCUUCUCUGUUUCCCUGACGAGGCCACUGUCGCAGGCAUUUUGCAGCGCUGCUCCCAUCCAGAUGCUUUGUUGUGGCGCUCCUCCUGUCAUUCUCUCCAUUUAAAUGUUUGAGCGAGAAAUCAAUGGCGCUUUCUAGCUGUGCGGGAGUGGACAUGUUCAGCGUGUGUGGGAUUUCUCAAGUUCCAAGCUGACAUCGUCGAUGAGAAGACUGAACCCAAGGCUGAAGGUGGAGGAGGGCGUGGACGGGAUUUGGUCCCAGCAUUGCACUCAGAGAUGCUCUAAUAUUUAAGGAGUCCUUGUUUCUUAUAUUAUAUUUUAUCACAUUGCCAUCAAAUUAAAUUGCUUGAUUGAGUAAAUAGCUUCAUAAUGUACUAGUAAAUCUUUGCUACCAUUAUUGGCAAGUUUUUGUAAGUAAUCUUUCUAGUCAAGCACUUGUGUAUCAUCUAUAGUAAUCUUAUGUUUUGCCAUUUUUCUCUUCUGAUUUUCUCAUCUUGUUUUCAUAGGCUUACUGGCUGCGUCUUCUAUGCUACUUGGUACACUCGUUAGACCCCAAAGCGAUGAAAUCUUCAUUUUUUGUUAAUACAAUAUUACGUGAAAUGCUUAUUAAUAGUGCUGCUUAUUUAAAGUACUACAUUACAGAAUCUGUUUUGUUAAUUUUUACCAUCAAUGCAAAGACAAACAUGUAUUUGCGUGCUAAUUUUGCUACUUUAUUACAUUCAUGUUUGUUUUAGGAAAGUACAUAUGCGCAUGAAAAAUUGUUGCAUUGUCUAAGGUCCAAUUCCAAACUAGUUGAAGUGGAAUUCAUUUAGUUAGUUUUAUGACACAUGCUAGUAAGUAUUUUGCAAUUCAUUUAGUUCCACUCUUUUUCAUCUUGCACGUUCUGGUACUACAAUCAUGCCACUAGUUCGGGAGAGUGAGAGGGAAAGGAGGGCAUUCCUCGCGGAACAUAAACGCAUGGGUGAUGUGUAUGCUAAGCUAAGGGGUGCAUUGAUUACAUGUACUUUAACCAUUAUACCUCUAGCUCAAGGUUAUGCAUGUUAUCUUGUCAAUUUUCAUCUCAUUAUGAUGCAACGUUGUUGUGUUUGUCAUUUAUAGGCAUCGGGAGGAGUUAGCCGCAAGACUUGAAGCACAAGAGAGAGCAUUUGAAGAGAUACAAAAGAAGCAGCAAGAAGAAUUGGAAGCUCUAAAGAAGAUCCAACAAGAGAAGAAUGAAGCCUAGGCAAAGAAGCAAAAGGAGAUGGAUAAUCUGCUUGAUUUUCUCUUGAGGGCUCAAGCAACUUAGCAAGCAACUCUGUAGUCCCAGUCCAAACCAGAUGGUUCAUGAAAGCCAUCCUUACAUUGCAAUCAUCAGGACAACAUAUGUGGUCUUUAGUUAAUAUUAGUUUUCAUCUUGUCUAUUGUCUAUGUCAAACUUGAGUCAGUUUUUUACCGUCAUUUUUGUUUACAGAAUGAUUUGGCUGAUACAAUCUCAUAUAUAAUAUGAUUUGUCUUACAUAUCAA